CCCCUCCCCUGCAAGUAUGAUCAUGGUUGAUGCUGCUGCCGCGUCCCAAUAAUGUUGGAAUUGUUGCUGCUGCUAUGAAUUCAAAAAGAGCAGGUUUAUCGUGGUUAAUUCCUUCCGGUUUAGCUAAUCGAGGUAGGGAGUUUAAAAUGAUUUUAAUUUAGGAAUGCCAACAAGGUUUACUGAAUAACUGCAAAUAGUAUUAAUAGCUGUGAGUAAUUAAUUGAUUAUAUGAAUGUUGGAUUGUGAUUGCGA